CACAAUAAAAAUAUGAAGGCUGCACGCAAGGGGCUGGAGUAUUUUAUCACCCUUGUCUUUUGCGCACUUGUUGUUUCCUGGGCGGGUUCGCCCGCCUCCAGGACCACACUGAUAAACCUUUUUUAUGCAGUUGCAAUCAGCGUCAGUAUAACAAAUGUAAAUCAUUUA
rnacentral:misc_RNA from 1 species